CGCAUUUCAGUUUCAGUUUCUCGCUUUAUUGCCUCUCUCUCUUCUCUGCCGUUUCUUUCUUCUCUCAUUUAACUCUGCUUCGACCAAACACAACACCAACAAAUUCAAACUCUGCUUCGCCGAGAGGUCUCCGACGUUCAGAUUUUAAUUUUUUGUGCCAUGAUGUUUGUAUGGGAGGUUUGCUGUAUAUGCUGAUCUCCACCGGCGUGGUGGCCAUGUCCGUUGCACUGAAGAUCUCGGUUCCGCUGGCCGCAGACCUCGAGCAAGGGCAAGGAUGAAUGGACUAUCACUUCUUCAUGAUGCCACUGCUGUUAUUUUCAUCAAUGUAACCUGGGCAUUGACAACUGCUUCUGGGAAGCAGAUUUGCAUAUGGCUUGGCCGAUUCUUUUAGCAAGGCUAAUGCAAUUAUUACAGAGGUAGUUUUGUUUCUUCGAUUUAUAUUCUUUAGUCCCUUACUCUCCCAAAUGGUUCUGGAACAUCUUAUAUUGAUGCAUGAACUUGGAACAUGUUGGUUUGGAGAUGACUUUGGAAGGUAUUGGACCUGCAAUUAAUUUUUGAAAAGAUGUGGCAAUAAAUUUCAGAGUGGGAACCGUUCCCUUAUGAAAAUUGCUCUGUCUUGUUAGGGAAUUUACAGCAAUUGUUCUUGUCACCUUUAACUUUGACUGCUAUUAUAAACUUAGGUUAAAGAAAUGGAAGAACUCAGGCAAGGUUACAGCAUUGUUUGUCUCUCCCAGGUAAUUGUAAGAACCUUUUUUUGUGGUUACUGUUUUGAAAGUAGGAACUAUGCUAUUCAAUCUAUUUGUUUGAACAAUUAUGAGGACAAGUUUGACGAUAGGUAGCAAGAAUUUGACUAAAGAAUAUUGAUGAUGCUAUGCCCUGUUGUUUAGUCUUGUUGCAAGAUGACGAGGAUUUCACUAGGUCUGGCAAGUCCUGGGGUUUGCUUUUAUGUGAUACAAAUAUGCAGUUGAGGCACAGAAAGCAGUUGAGUGGCUUGAUGGUAUGCUAAUCGAUUUAUUAUCAUUACUUUAUUAUCUGCUGUGAAAAUGCGUGGCCUUUUUGAAAGGCUUCGGAGCUAUGUUAAUGCCCAGGGAAUGACUGGUUUUGUUGAGUCUUUGCACAGUUUAGCACAAUCUCUGGGAAAGUUUGUGGUCCAAAUGUAGAUACAGACCCCAAUCUUCAACAUGUCAAGGUCCAUUGGCAGCUACACCAAAGACUGGAAACUCUAAGUUACAAGUAAUUUUAUCUUAUUUUGGAGACUUCAAUCUUGUUCUUUUCUUUUGUUGUUGUAUAUGGAGAAGUUUAGGCAUGGUUAAUGCGCAGUUGAAGGCAUUUUUGUUUUGGUAUUUUGAUGAGCCUCCUGCUAGCUAGUUUUAGUUUUUGCUUUAGUUAUAGGCAUGGUUAAUGCAAUGUGGACGCGUUUAUGUUUUCCGGCUUUAUGCAGUUAUAGCCACUUAGGCAAUGUUAAUUCUUAUGUAAAUGUUGGGAUGAAUAUUGUUGAUGAAUGAAAUGGCUUUUGGAAUCAA